GUAAGUGGGGGAGUCGGGUAAAUUAAGAUUGAACCAGUGCCUCUUAAGGCUCUGUCUAGGUAUGAGCGUCUGGGGAGUGGCAAGUCACCAAUCCACCAGGGAGUCAGGGUAACUACCUGCCCAGUACGGUUUGCUCUGUCUUCUGAGGGAGUAGUAGGAGAUUGCAAGCCUUUAUGCGGCGUGUGUGAGAGUGGGGUCUAUCAGGUCCUAGACCCUCCAAGUCCCUUGUAUUGCCUCUGAU